rnacentral:rRNA from 1 species
UACGGGGGGGGCAAGCGUUGUUCGGAAUUACUGGGCGUAAAGGGCUCGUAGGCGGCCAACUAAGUCAGACGUGAAAUCCCUCGGCUUAACCGGGGAACUGCGUCUGAUACUGGAUGGCUCGAGUUUGGGAGAGGGAUGCGGAAUUCCAGGUGUAGCGGUGAAAUGCGUAGAUAUCUGGAGGAACACCGGUGGCGAAGGCGGCAUCCUGGACCAAUACUGACGCUGAUGAGCGAAAGCGUGGGGAGCAAACAGG